AGGGCACCACCAGGAGUGGAGCCUGCGGCUUAAUUUGACUCAACACGGGAAAACUCACCUGGCCAAGACACAAUAAGGAUUGACAGAUUGAUAGCUCUUUCUCGAUUUUGUGGGUGGUGGUGCAUGGCCGUUCUUAGUUGGGGGAGUGAUUUGUCUGGUUAAUUCCCGAUAACGAACGAGACUCUAGCCCUAUUAAAUAGACGUUAUACUUUUUUGUAAAGCGUCCUUCUUUAAGAGGGACAAGCAGCUUCCUAGCUGCGGCGAGAUGAGCAAUAUAACAGUCCCUGUGAUGUGCCUAGAGUAGUCCCGGGGCUCUGGCAGGCGGGCUCUAACAUGAGAAGUAGACCAUGUGUCGCUUGAUAUCAUAGUCUCUGAAAAGAGCCUGGGUUAACCACGGGAUUCAAUUUCUGUGCUUGGGAAUGAUGGAUUUGGUAUAUAUUUUCAUCUUGAACAGAGGAAUUCUCUAGUGAAGGUGUGGUCAACACAGUCUCGUUUAAUAACUUCCUGGCCCUUUGAAAA
rnacentral:rRNA from 1 species